GAUGAACGCUGGCGGCGUGCCUAAUACAUGCAAGUCGAGCGAAGCGGGGACGGGUGAGUAACACGUGGAUAACCUCCUAUAAGACUGGGAUAACUUCGGGAAACCGGAGCUAAACCGGAUACUAAUAGAUUGAUCCGCGCUGCAUGAGCUAGUUGGUAAUGUAACGGCUUACAAAGGCAACGCUGCAUCGCCGACCUUCGAGGGGGAUCUGCCACACUGGAACAGCGACACGGUCCAGACUCCUACGUGAGGCAGCAGUAGGGAAUCUUCCGCAAUGGGCGAAAGCCUGACGGAGCAACGCCGCGUGAGUGAUGAAGGUCUUCGGAUCGUAAAACUCUGUUAUUAGGGAAGCGGUACCUAAUCAGAAAGCCACGGCUAACUACGUGCCAGCAGCCGCGGUAAUUC
rnacentral:rRNA from 1 species